rnacentral:lncRNA from 1 species
AUGCCCAAGCACACGGAGACCCCGUUCCUCCCAGACCCUGCAGGCCUGCCGGCCCCGGACUCCCCUCCUGCACUGAGGACGGAAUCGGAGGCUUUUGCAGCAGCUGGCAGGGACAAGACGGGGAGACGGAGGGGGCACCUCAGGGCUCGGGCUGGGUCUCCGGGAUCCCGGGGAUCGAGCCCCUUGCGCCCCGCGGGCUGGGAGCAGCGGCGCGGGUGGCGGAGCGCGGGGAGCCGGGGCCGCGGGCGGGGGAGGGGCGGCGGUGGGGGAGGGGGCGCGGCGGUGCGCACGUCGUCGCGUUUAUCCACCUGGCAGCUCCAAUUCGCCCGCCCGUCACUCACCCUCCGCCUCCCCGGCGCUCGCUGCGGGGCCCAGCCCGGGCCGACACGCGGGCGGGGACCCCCACCCGGGGCCUUCGGGUCCCCUGCCCAUGCACUGGCCGGGUGGCCCGGUCCCCAAGGACCCCUCCCCCGGAGCUCUGGUACCCAGGAGGGUGCACACCUCCAUCCAGCUCCUGGAGCUGGUGGGCAGGACCGAGGCAGGGGGCUCCCCCACCCCGAGGGCGGCCCCGCCUUCUCCACCUGGCAGAGAGGGCCGCUCCUCUUCCAGCUCAGGGGUCUUCCGGCCCGGGGAAGCCCCCCACCUCCACCACGAGGAGGUAGACUUGGGGGGCGGGGGCGGGGCCGCGAGGGCGGCGGGGGAGGGGGCGGUGACUCAGCCGCCCUCCGCCCGCCUCCCCGGAACUUUGCAGCAGCUGGAGCCGUUGCUACAGGAACCGAAAGCUUUUGUUCCCCAAUGUCAGGGCUGCCCGGCAGACUGGAGGCUGGGAGGCUGCCACUCCCCGGUGGGACCCAGGCCCAGCCACCCUGCCCAGAGGACUUCCAGCAGCAGAACGCCACACAUUCGAGCCCUCUCUCUCCCCCUUACCCACCCUUCACCAAGCCAAUCCCGGCAGAGCCAGGUUUCUUCAAACUCUUGGGGCCCUUAGGCGGGGGCGCCCCCUAA